rnacentral:rRNA from 1 species
CCUGGCCUUGACAUACUAAGAACUUUCCGGAGAUGGAUUGGUGCCUUCGGGAACUUAGAUACAGGUGCUGCAUGGCUGUCGUCAGCUCGUGUCGUGAGAUGUUGGGUUAAGUCCCGCAACGAGCGCAACCCUUUUCCUUAUUUGCCAGCGGGUCAUGCCGGGAACUUUAAGGAUACUGCCAGUGACAAACUGGAGGAAGGCGGGGACGACGUCAAGUCAUCAUGGCCCUUACGGCCAGGGCUACACACGUGCUACAAUGGUCGGUACAAAGGGUUGCUACCUCGCGAGAGGAUGCUAAUCUCAAAAAGCCGAUCGUAGUCCGGAUCGCAGUCUGCAACUCGACUGCGUGAAGUCGGAAUCGCUAGUAAUCGCGGAUCAGAAUGCCGCGGUGAAUACGUUCCCGGGCCUUGUACACACCGCCCGUCACACCAUGGGAGUUUGUUGCACCAGAAGUAGGUAGUCUAACCGCAAGGAGGACGCUUACCACGGUGUGGCCGAUGACUGGGGUGAAGUCGUAACAAGGUAGGCGUAGAUGA